rnacentral:rRNA from 1 species
GUAAACCUACGGGAGGCAGCAGUAGGGAAUCUUCCACAAUGGGCGAAAGCCUGAUGGAGCAACGCCGCGUGGGUGAAGGAGGUCUUCGGAUCGUAAAACCCUGUUGUUAGAGAAGAAAGUGCGUGAGAGUAACUGUUCACGUUUCGACGGUAUCUAACCAGAAAGCCACGGCUAACUACGUGCCAGCAGCCGCGGUAAUACGUAGGUGGCAAGCGUUAUCCGGAUUUAUUGGGCGUAAAGGGAACGCAGGCGGUCUUUUAAGUCUGAUGUGAAAGCCUUCGGCUUAACCGGAGGGGUUCAUUGGA